UACAGAGGGGGCAAGCGUUAUUCGGAAUUACUGGGCGUAAAGCGCGCGUAGGCGGACCUGCAAGUCGGGGGUGAAAGCCCGAGGCUCAACCUCGGAACUGCCUUCGAUACUGCGGGUCUCGAGUCCGGGAGAGGUGAGUGGAAUUCCUAGUGUAGAGGUGAAAUUCGUAGAUAUUAGGAAGAACACCAGUGGCGAAGGCGGCUCACUGGCCCGGUACUGACGCUGAGGCGCGAAAGCGUGGGGAGCAAACAGGG
rnacentral:rRNA from 1 species